UACUUACAGUUUGUUAAAUAAUGGACUCUUGGUGCUUAUGAAAUCCUUGUCCAUGGGUUGUGCAUUUUGGCACUGGGUAGCUGACAUGAAUAGCUGCUGAAGACGAGUGAGCUGACUGGCUGGUUGUUUAGACAUUGGUGUCCCGGAGUCUGAUGAGGCUGAAUUGGUCCCCUGAGUUAAAACCAACUCUUCGUGGACUAGAGCUUUGUGUUUCUGAGGCCAUUGGGGGGACUAAGGGACAGCCAACUUUGAGGGGCCAUCUGGUUGGCCAGCUGCUCCACCCCCCUCUAUGACCUGUGUCUCUCAGCUUUUAAGGCUGCACAGGUGCCUCAGUUGCUGUCUCUUACUUGAGGAGGAGCUUCAGGGCAUGAGCUUAUCCCCUCAGUGUGUACUGAGAACAGGCGGCCAAAGGGGCCAUCAGGGAGAGAGUAGUGUCUGACCUGGAUACACCAAGCAGUUAACCGGUCCCUACAUGGUGGGAAGAACCAGAAGCUGGGUGUCAGGAUACCUGAGUCCCACACAGUGACAACAGAGACCUAGCCUCUGGUCUGGGGCUGAUGAGCUGGAGUCUGAUUCUCAUCUCCAAGUGCCCCUGUGAGAUAGAAGCCUCUUCUCGACUCUGUCACCUGCCGGGGUCAUGCUGAAGGAAGAAGAAGCUCAGAUUGAGGAAGCUCUACCGUGUCUUGGAAAGGAGAUGACAGCAGAGAAGUGACCCCGGCACUCAGCCACCCCUCACAGGUCGUCUGCGGAAGUAGAACAGGCGUCUCAUUGGUAACAGCUACCUGAUGGCUUGCAGGCCCCACCCAGUUGAGGAGCGUGGUCCUGUGCCGUUUUACCCUCACUCGGGAUCUCGCUUGCACACCAUGAACUAGCUUCGUUUGGGCUCUGCCAUCUCCACAUGGAAGUGCUCUGUGUUAACAGAAGAAUUGGGGGGACUU